ACGCUCGACACCUACGGGUGGCAGCAGUGAGGGAUAUUGGUCAAUGGGGGAAACCCUGAACCAGCAACGCCGCGUGAGGGAUGACGGUCUUCGGAUUGUAAACCUCUGUCCUCUGUGAAGAUAAUGACGGUAGCAGAGGAGGAAGCUCCGGCUAACUACGUGCCUGCAGCCGCGGUAAUCUGAGCGGGCUGGCAAGGC
rnacentral:rRNA from 1 species